rnacentral:rRNA from 1 species
ACGAACGCUGGCGGCGUGCCUAAUACAUGCAAGUCGAACGGUCUUUCUAUGGAAGCUUGCUUCCACUGAGAAGAUAGUGGCGAACGGGUGAGUAACACGUGGGUAACCUGCCCAUAAGAGGGGGAUAACAUCCGGAAACGGGUGCUAAUACCGCAUAGUUUUCUUGAUCGCAUGAUCGGGAAAGGAAAGACGGCCUUUGUGCUGUCGCUUAUGGAUGGACCCGCGGCGUAUUAGUUAGUUGGUGAGGUAAUGGCUCACCAAGACGAUGAUACGUAGCCGACCUGAGAGGGUGAUCGGCCACAUUGGGACUGAGACACGGCCCAAACUCCUACGGGAGGCAGCAGUAGGGAAUCUUCCGCAAUGGACGAAAGUCUGACGGAGCAACGCCGCGUGAGUGAAGAAGGUUUUCGGGAAUCGUAAAACUCUGUUGUCAGAGAAGAACAAGUUGGAGAGUAACUGCUCCAGCCUUGACGGUAUCUGACCAGAAAGCCACGGCUAACUACGUGCCAGCAGCUGC